GAUCCUGGCUCAGGAUGAACGCUGGCGGCGUGCUUAACACAUGCAAGUCGAACGGUGAAGCCAAGCUUGCUUGGUGGAUCAGUGGCGAACGGGUGAGUAACACGUGAGCAACCUGCCCUGAACUCUGGGAUAAGCGCUGGAAACGGCGUCUAAUACUGGAUAUGAGCUGCGGAGGCAUCUUCGUGGUUGGAAAGAUUUUUCGGUUUGGGAUGCAGCUCGCGGCCUAUCAGCUUGUUGGUGAGGUAAUGGCUCACCAAGGCGUCGACGGGUAGCCGGCCUGAGAGGGUGACCGGCCACACUGGGACUGAGACACGGCCCAGACUCCUACGGGAGGCAGCAGUGGGGAAUAUUGCACAAUGGGCGGAAGCCUGAUGCAGCAACGCCGCGUGAGGGAUGACGGCCUUCGGGUUGUAAACCUCUUUUAGCAGGGAAGAAGCGAAAGUGACGGUACCUGCAGAAAAAGCGCCGGCUAACUACGUGCCAGCAGCCGCGGUAAUACGUAGGGCGCAAGCGUUAUCCGGAAUUAUUGGGCGUAAAGAGCUCGUAGGCGGUUUGUCGCGUCUGCUGUGAAAUCUGGGGGCUCAACCCCCAGCCUGCAGUGGGUACGGGCAGACUAGAGUGCGGUAGGGGAGAUUGGAAUUCCUGGUGUAGCGGUGGAAUGCGCAGAUAUCAGGAGGAACACCGAUGGCGAAGGCAGAUCUCUGGGCCGUAACUGACGCUGAGGAGCGAAAGGGUGGGGAGCAAACAGGCUUAGAUACCCUGGUAGUCCACCCGUAAACGUUGGGAACUAGUUGUGGGGUCCAUUCCACGGAUUCCGUGACGCAGCUAACGCAUUAAGUUCCCCGCCUGGGGAGUACGGCCGCAAGGCUAAAACUCAAAGGAAUUGACGGGGACCCGCACAAGCGGCGGAGCAUGCGGAUUAAUUCGAUGCAACGCGAAGAACCUUACCAAGGCUUGACAUACACGAGAACGCUGCAGAAAUGUAGAACUCUUUGGACACUCGUGAACAGGUGGUGCAUGGUUGUCGUCAGCUCGUGUCGUGAGAUGUUGGGUUAAGUCCCGCAACGAGCGCAACCCUCGUUCUAUGUUGCCAGCACGUAAUGGUGGGAACUCAUGGGAUACUGCCGGGGUCAACUCGGAGGAAGGUGGGGAUGACGUCAAAUCAUCAUGCCCCUUAUGUCUUGGGCUUCACGCAUGCUACAAUGGCCGGUACAAAGGGCUGCAAUACCGCGAGGUGGAGCGAAUCCCAAAAAGCCGGUCCCAGUUCGGAUUGAGGUCUGCAACUCGACCUCAUGAAGUCGGAGUCGCUAGUAAUCGCAGAUCAGCAACGCUGCGGUGAAUACGUUCCCGGGUCUUGUACACACCGCCCGUCAAGUCAUGAAAGUCGGUAACACCUGAAGCCGGUGGCCCAACCCUUGUGGAGGGAGCCGUCGAAGGUGGGAUCGGUAAUUAGGACUAAGUCGUAACAAGGUAGCCGUACCGGAAGGUGCGGCUGGAUCACCUCCU
rnacentral:rRNA from 1 species